GAUGAACGCUGGCGGCGUGCCUAAUACAUGCAAGUCGAGCGAACAGACGAGGAGCUUGCUCCUCUGACGUUAGCGGCGGACGGGUGAGUAACACGUGGAUAACCUACCUAUAAGACUGGGAUAACUUCGGGAAACCGGAGCUAAUACCGGAUAAUAUAUUGAACCGCAUGGUUCAAUAGUGAAAGACGGUUUUGCUGUCACUUAUAGAUGGAUCCGCGCCGCAUUAGCUAGUUGGUAAGGUAACGGCUUACCAAGGCAACGAUGCGUAGCCGACCUGAGAGGGUGAUCGGCCACACUGGACCUGAGACACGGUCCAGCCCCCUACGGGAGGCAGCAGUAGGGAAUCUUCCGCAAUGGGCGAAAGCCUGACGGAGCAACGCCGCGUGAGUGAUGAAGGUCUUCGGUUCGUAAAACUCUGUUAUUAGGGAAGAACAAAUGUGUAAGUAACUAUGCACGUCUUGACGGUACCUAAUCAGAAAGCCACGGCUACCUACGU
rnacentral:rRNA from 1 species